rnacentral:lncRNA from 1 species
GUCACAUGAUGGACAUGAUAUAAUGAAACAACAUUGUGGAGAGGAAAGCAUUAGGGGAGCCCACGGCUACAAAAACAAGUGAGUGAGAAGAGGUGGGAGGAAGAGAAACUACGCCACCUCCCCUGCAGCCGAGUGCACGCAGCAGCCUGGCGUGACAAGUGGGCGACGCCGGGGGGCAGGGAGCCGGGGUCCUUGGCCCUGGCCGGGGACCCCACCGCCCACCGCGCGGAGGACAACUUUUAGCCGGCAGCCCAGACCAGCGCGGCACCUGUCUCCGGAGUCUCCACCGCUCCUCCCGAUUCAUCCCAGGGAAAUUCUCAAGAAUACGCUCUACAAAUCUACGUGCGCAUCAUUUUCACCUCGCGUCGCGCCCGGGAGGAAGGAACGAGGCAAGGAGCUAAAGCAGCGUGCGUUCAGCCCUGGGGCAUUUUAUUAAUGCUUUUACGAGUUAGAAGAGUUGGGAUAAUUUGCCAUCUGGAGUUUCUCUGCCUUGCUGAUCUGAGCUCAGACCUGCCAAUUUACCAGAGAUAAUUGAUAACACCCUGUAACAGCUGAGAGGAAAAUGGAAGAAACGGAGAUACUUUUAGUGAAGCAGAAUAAACCACUGAACAGAUGGAGUCUCACUCUGUUGCCCAGACUGGAAUGCAGUGGUGUGAUCUCAACUGACUGCAACCUCCGUAUCCUGGGUUCAAGCAACUCUCCUGCUGCAGCCACGAAAAAUGAGGAAGCUGUGAGUACCAGUGGAAGGAACGAGCCAGGAAGAGGGACUGGAACCAUCUCAGAAGCCAUGCCCCUCAGGCUGGAACUUGCCCUGUCUCCUCGCAGAUGAGACUGAGUGUACUUGGUCUGGUAUUUGUGGCAUAACUUACGGAACACAUAAGAAUGAUACAGAUACUAUUUAAUGAUGACCUAAUACAAGCUUAGAUAGCUAAGGUGAAAGCUUCUAUGGCCUUAACAUUUUCCUCUUGAAGAAUGUAUUUUCUGUAAUAAAAUACAGUGGCUACUUGAAAUCUAUAAACUUAUGUGAGGUCUGGAUAAAUCUGAGCAACUUUCUUCUUUGUGCUCCAGGAACCUACGCACUAUAUAUAUAAAUAAAGCUUAAGUAAACAUCACUGCAA